UACAGAGGUCCCAAGCGUUGUUCGGAUUCAUUGGGCGUAAAGGGUGCGUAGGCGGCGCGGUAAGUCGGGUGUGAAAUCUCGGAGCUUAACUCCGAAACUGCAUUCGAUACUGCCGUGCUUGAGGACUGGAGAGGAGACUGGAAUUUACGGUGUAGCGGUGAAAUGCGCAGAUAUCAGGAGGAACACCGGUGGCGAAGGCGGUUCUCUGGGCAUUACCUGACGCUGAGGAGCGAAAGUGUGGGGAGCGAACAGG
rnacentral:rRNA from 1 species